GGCUCCACACCGAGGUCCUACCUAUCCUUGGGGCAGCUAGGACCAAGAAAACUGGGGCGGUAGCGCUGAGCUGUCGGGAAAAGCCAGUCCUAUCGCGCGACACAAUUGCACCGCAGGGAGUGCGUGUUCACUCUGACUCUGCCCGGCUCCCCACGAAGCGCGGAGGCGGAAGAGGGCUGAGUUCUGGCGAGCAGCGCCCCUGAUUCACGCCAGCGGCAAGCCGUGUUAAAAAUACCUUUAGCCACUAGAUGUCGCUGUGGCCUCACUGCGAGGAUGCGGAGGGAGGCGCUGCGGAGCGCGGGCGGCGUGACUAUAGCUGCCCGGGUUAACGCUGGAAGAGGCUCCCCACCUGGGGUCAAGCAAGGUCCAAACAGGUGAAGGGGAUGCGCCUUUGUGGCUUGGAGACCCUCGCCCUCGAAAAAGUUUAUUAAACAAACUUGGGAGGGACCUCAAGAAUUCUUACAUCCAAGUCAUUGCUCUUCAGUGCGAAGCUGGGGAAACGGAGGCCUGCAGUGGGCGGCGCCUGGCACCCCAGUCAGCGGGCGCUCAGGGGAGUUGCUAGCCAGACUCGACGAGUCUGUCAAGACCGUGUUCAAAUGUCAAUUACCCUCUGGACGCCCCGAAUAGGUCACAGCCUCCAUGAACACGUGGAUCCGGUUCUCUUAGAGCUCCUGUUGUUUGUGUUUGCACAUUUAUUCCGGUCAUAAUUCAGCCCAGUGCUUGCCUCCCUCACUAGACUGCCAGCUCCAUGAGUCAGUCUUGUAUCUUUGUGGCCUGUCACAUAGUAAGCACUUGGUAACUACUAACUUCUUGAAUAAAUGAGUAAUUGAAGACAUCUCCAUUUUACGGAGGAGGAAACAGAUUCCGAUGGGAAAGGCAGAAUGGGACAUGCCGCUUUACCAGCACAUCUCUGUGGGGAUGAGAUGAGGUCAGAGAACGUGUAAGGCCCAGAUCACCCAGGGCCUGAGUGGCUGGAGGUGAAGUGACUUGGGUUUUCACAGGAUCCCACUGUGUGGGUGUGGGGGAAGCUGAGAGGCCACAGAGCAGGCAGAUGUGGUCAUCCAGGUGGCAGGUGGGAGAAGAUGGAGAUUCACAAUUGCUUCUGGAAGACUCGCUGCGUGAUUCUGCCCACCCCAUGGCCUGUUCCUCCUGGGAUAUUCAGAGCAGGAUCCAUAUCUACUGCCCCACCAAACAUGGCCCACACCCCAACUCAUUCUGGACCACACCUGCCCCUCUGUCAUUUCCUACAGGCUUUUCCUGCAGAUUGAGAGAGAGAGAAAACUGGGCAGGAAGCACAUUACCGACGGGUGAAAGGAUGAUCUCACAGGAAACCAGACAAGCUGGAGUUGUCGCCACACCCUGGACUUGAAGAGCUCGGGCACUUCACUGACAGCCACCUCCCGUCUCCCUUCCAUUCUUUAUGGGCAGAGCCUUGCAAGCCUUGGUGAUGAGCUUUAUUCUAUGAGAUAUGGCAGCUGCUGCAGAACGAUUUGAUUUGGUUUUUGAAAGAUUGCUCUGGCUACUGUGCAGAGUGGAUUCUCAGAGGACCCAUGGGGGACACAUCUCAGGACAACUGGGUAUUGGAUCUGGAGCUCAGGGAGAACAACCCGCCAGGGAGAGGGCCUGAGCUGAGCCUGGAGAUGUUACCAUUCCAGAGCAGAGCGGAGGGCCAGGAGGAGGGGCACGUGGCCAUGUGGCUGACAUCUUGAUGACAUGUGCUGUGUGUCCCCCUCACAGACUUGGGAUCUUUCUGGCAGGCAAACGCAGGCCUUGGGGAAUGUUCUGGGAUGGGCGAUGUCAGCCUCACUGUGUUUGCUCAGCUGCUGGGCUCUCCUGGGACUACUGAGGACUGCAGCACCAAUGGUGGAACUCCAGGCAUGGUGACAGGGCGUGACCAGCUUCCCCACCCAGGUCUGUGGUCAGCCUGGCUGUGCUGAAUGGUGGAAGUAAAAGUGAGGCCCAGAGAGGUGUCUAGAGCCAUCUGGCCAUGAGGUCAGCCACCCACCCAGGCCUCUGAAAGCCAUGGGCAGCCACUUCCCAGAUGAGGCUUCCCAUCUCUUCCUCCACCAAAACCACACUCAACUCAUAGGCGGGCCUCAGGGGUGGUCCCUUUCCCAAGGGGAGGACUGUAGGCAAAUGCCACACUGGGCUGAGCCAAGGCAGGGGUCAAGGCUGGAGGCCUGGAUGUUCACAUGCUGUGGGCAGGUCAGCCACAAUGAAGCCCACCCUACCUGUCAAGCCCCACUGCUUUGGUGCCUUCGCCUCUCUGGGUGAAUGCUGUCCCGCCGAGCCCCUGCAUGUGAGGCUCUUUCAGGCAGUGAUCACCCCUCUGAUUUUCCAGACAGAGAGAGAGGAAGGCAGGUGGCCCCGGCCACUCUGUGUGCUGAGGCAGAGUGAACAGGCAGCAGCCCUGGAGGGAUAGAGGAGAGUGUGUAUGUUUGUGCGUCCUGCGUGCAGAUUUGUCUUUGAGUGUGCAAGUCCCCAUAUGUGUCCCUGGGGUGUAUGUCCCAGUAGCUGUGUGUACCUGUGCCCUGUGUUUGUGCAAAUCUCUGUGUUUAUGCAAAUCUGUGUGUGUGAAUGUAAACGUGUACCUAGGAGUGUUGUCUCUGUGUGAAUGUGUGUGGAUAGGUGCCUGGAACCAGUUAUGAUUGAGACCAACACCCCACUUUCAGCAUUGGGGAGAUUCCUUCCUGUAUCACAGGGGAACAGAUCACUACUCCCAUUAUGCAGAGGGGAAACGGAGGCUCUGAGAGGGCUGAGGCUUGCCUAAGGUCACGAGCCGAUGGGAUUACAAUUCAAUCCUCACCUCUAUGGUGGCUUCUGAGGGCUCAUGGGAGUCCUUGGUCCCAAGCUCUCCUCCCCAACCUGUUCCAUUGGUGCCUGGAAUAUCCUUGCUGGGAAGAGGCAGUGUCCUUGGCAGCUUCAUCUGUUAAACUGGCCUCCCUUCAUGAGACAGGGACAGUCCAUUCUUCCUGAGACCACCCUGGCAGGUAGAUGGCGCCUGGAGCAGGAGGGCCUGACAAGGAAGGCAGGGAAGGCGGAGGGGUGGGGUCCUGCAGAAAGACAACUGCCUGCUGUUGAGAGCAUGGGCUGCAGGAGAGGCUGGUGCAGACGUGGGUGUGGGCUGUGGUUUGGCCACUUGGGCUUCAACCUGGAUGCCCCAGCCAUGCACUUGCUGACUGGAUUACUCGUGGCUGCUGGCACUAAUCAGAGAGCUGUGUGUGUGUAAACAAUGAGAACCCAGGCUGGGCGUGGUGGCUCACAUCUGUAAUCCCAGCACUCCGGGAGACCAAGAUGGGCAGAUCACACGGUCAGGAGAUCCAGACCAUCCUGGCCAACAUGGUGAAACCCUGUCUCUUCUAAAAAUUAAAAAAAAUUAGCUGGGUGUGGUGGCACAUGCCUGUAAUCCCAGCUACUCGAGGCUGAGGCAGGAGAAUCACUUGAACCUGGAACCUGGAAGAUGGAGGUUGCAGUUAGCUGAGAUUGCGCCACUACACUCCAGCCUGGCAACAGAGCAUGACUCCAUCUCAAAAUAAAAUAAAAAAGAAUGAAAACCUGGUGCAGGGAGUCCUACAAGCAGAGGCCCCUCCUACAGCUGAGCCCAUUUUGUCACCUGUAACCAGGGAUAAUGAUGAGUUUCCCUUGGAGAAAGAUGAAGGUGGAAAUGUUUACACACUGAAGAUGCUGCUGGAACACCACAGGGCUUGGCGGAGUGGGGGCAGUGUUAACAAGGGCGGCUGCUGCAGCUCCAGUGAAGGGCUGGACCCUGUGUCAGGUGCGCCUGCAGAUAUAAUUCCUCAAGUCCAUAAAACAAUGCAACCAGGUGGGUCUAAACAUCCGCACUUUACAGAUGAGGCGCUUGAGGUCAGGGAUGUCAGUCUUGGCUACCUCCACAGCCUUGGGGCCUUGCAUGGCUUCACCCCUGCCUAACUUUCUAGUCCCUAUGUCUCUGUGACCCCCUCCCUCCUGCCACUUCCAUCUGGCCUUCUUGUGGCCUUCAGAUAUGUCACACUCUCACCCACAUCAGCUCUGUGUCCUUUGCCCACACUGUCCCUCUGCUGCCACAUGCUCAUCCGUUAGGUCCUGACUUACAUGUCACUCCCAGGGUCCCUUCCUGACUUCCUAUGCCGGGCAAAGGGCCAAUUCUUAGCUCCUCAGGGCCGGCCUCCCAUUUCGGUGCCUGUGACAGAUUUCCCUCAUCAGAGAGGGCUGGGACUUGUGCUCUCAGCUAUGACCCCAGCACACAGCACAGACUAGAAAGGAUGCCUACCUACUGCCCUGCCUUGUGAUGGAGUUGGAUUCAAACCCAGGUGUUUCUGAAACCAAAGUGUGGCUUCGUAAAACUUAGCAGCAUGGAAUUGGAGGGGAGGAAAUAUCAUCAGCAGAGCGGUUCCCCUCUCAAUCAGGUUUCAAGACUCAGGUUUCCUGUGGGGAAAUGGCUCUCAUCCAUACAUGGUCUCAGGAGUUUGGCUGAGCCACACUCCCUGCCUUACUUCCAGAGGUGGACAGAUGAUUCAGGUCUGGCCAAUCAGCAUACCCACCUCCCUCAUGCUGAGCCUGUCCAAUGGGAAGCUGCCCUAGAACCCAUGCUGGGGACUGACAGAAAGGGAUGUCCACUGCUGUGAAGGGCGUCAAGGUUCUGCGGCUCAGGAAGGUCUCCAGGACUUGGAUUACAGAUAAUAAUUACCAUGUUACAGAUGACUAAAAGCCUCAAAGCACAUCAGCACCCCCCACCCUCUUCUUCCUGGUUCCUCAUGUUGUUGACGUCCCCAUUGUCUACUAGAAAAGGACACCAUCACACCUCCUGCAUUUACUUCUUUAUAUACUUCUUUGUUAACUUUUUUUUUUUAGAAACAGUCUCACUCUGUCACCCAGGCUGGAGUGCAGUGGUAUGAUUUUGGUUCACUGUGGCCUCCACUUCCUGGGUUCAAGUGAUUCUCCUGCCUCAGCCUCCUGGACAGUUAGGAUUACAGGCACCUGCCAACACAUCUGGCUAAGUUUUGCAUUUUUAGUAGAGACAGGGUUUCACCAUGUUGGUCAGGCUGGUCUCGAACUCCUGACCUCAGGUGAUCUACUCGCCUCGGUCUCCCAAAGUGCUGGGAUUACAGGCAUGAGCCACCACGCCCAACCCCACAAACCUCUUAAUCAAGGCAUGUUCUGCCUUCAGGUACACCCUCCAUGAUGUCUGCCAGAAAUAUCUUUCAGGAAGGCAGCUCUGAAGGGCAUUUGCCUACUCAAAAAUCCUAGGAAACACUUAGAUUAGUUCAGAGGCUUUCGGUAAACUAACCCAGAAAUCUUGAACUCAAGUGCCCACAGUGGCCAUCCAGGAAAUGUGAGCCAAGUGAGUGGAAUAUCUGUAUAUAACACAUGGGAUUGUCUUUGUUCCCCCAGAGAGAUAUACUUGGUCUUUCUUUUCUUAAAAUGCAUGUCAUCUCAGCCUCUUUUGUUUUCCUGCUUUUAAUAAGAUGUAGAAAACAGUUGUGAAAAUGCAGUGAUAAAUGGCAACUGACUUUCGGCCUGUGCUGGGGAGGCUGCUAGGCAGUGGCAGGGACUGCAGUGAAUAGAGAGCACAUGCUCUUUCAGUGGCGGGGUAACAGCUCAAUCGCUAUGUAGAAAUGCUGAUCUGAUGUUGAUAGAUUUGAUUUUCCAAAAGAAAGCAAAAAUCAGGAUUCUUAUGGUAUAUCUAUCUCCCCGUUUUUGACAAGCAAAUAAUUCCAGGCUUUUAAAAAGCACCAUGUGAGUCAUUCUCUCAUACUGCUCGUAGGUGUCUAAAUUGGUGCAAUCUCUAAGGAUAGAAAUUUGACAUUAGCUACUAAAAUUAUAUGAACAAUACUCUUUAACUUGACACUCCCACUUCUGGUAUUCUUCCUGCAUAUAUACUUGCUGUGUGCAAAAUGAUGUGUUCGAGAAAAUGUAUUGCAGCAUUGUUUGCAAUAGUGAAAAAACUGAACUAAUCUAAAUGUCUUCCUGGGGGUCUUGGUUAAACAGAUUACAUUUGUAAAGGUAUGUUAUGCAGCUAUAAAAAUGAGUGCUUUUUUUUUAAGAUAUGACAAUAGCACAAGUGACAAAAGACAAAACAGAUAACUGAACUUCAUCAAAAUUAAAAACUUCUGUGCAACAGAGGAGGUUAUCAAAAAAGUGAAAAGAUGGAAGUAAAUAUCUUCCUAAAAAUGGAAGUAAAUAUCUAUAAAUCAUGGGAAGUAAAUAUCUGUAAAUCACCUGAUAAAGUAAUAUCUGUAAAUAUCUGUAAAUCAUCUGAUAAGGGACUUAUAUUCCAAAUAUAUAAAGAACUCUGACAGCUGAAUAUUAAAAAGUGAAGUAACCCACUUAAAAAUGGACAAAGGGCUGAGUGAGGUGGCUCAUGCUUAAAUCCCAACUCUUUGAGAGGCCAACGUGGGCAGAUCACUUGAGCUGAGGAGUUCAAGACUAGCCUGGCCAACAUAGUGAGACUCUGUCUCUACUAAAAAUACAAAAAUUAGCUGGGUGCAGUGGUGUGUGCCUGUAGUCCCAACUACUUGGGAGGCUGAGGCAGGAGAAUCACUACUUGAGCCUGGGAGGCAGAGGUUGCAGUGAGCCAAGAUCCUGCCACUGCACUCCAGCCUGGGCUGGAGUGAAACCCUGUCUCAAAAAAAAAAAAAAAAAAAGGAUUUGAAUAGACAUUGAACAGACAUUUACCCAAAAGAGACAAAUGGCCAAUAAGCCCUGAAAACAUGCUUAACAUCCUUAGUCUUAGUCAUUAGGGAAAUGCAAAUCAAAACUACCAUGACAUACCACUUCACACCCAGUAGGAUGGCUAUAAUUAAAAAUAAAAAGAAAAUUAUAGCCAUACUUGGGAGGCCAAGGCAGGCAGAUCACUUGAGGUCAGGAGUUUGAGACCAGCCUGGCCAACAUGGUGAAACCCUAUCUCUACUAAAAAUACAAAAAUUAGCUGGCUGUGGUGGCAGGCACUUGUAAUCCCAACUACUCGAGAAGCUGAGGCAGAAAAAUUGCUUGAACCUGGGGAGUGGAUGUUGCAGUGAGCUGAGAUUUCACCAAUGUACUCCAUAGAGCAAGACUCAGUCUGAAAAAAAAAAAAAAAGAACAGAACAAUGAAAAUAAGUGUUGAUGAGGAUGCGGAGAAAUCAGAACUCUUAAAUACUGCUGGUGAGUUUGUAAAAUGGUGCAGCUGAUGGAGAAAACAGCUUGGCACUUUCUCAAGAACUUUAUAGUUUACCGUGUGGCCCAGCAAUCCCACUCAGAAGAGAAAUGAAAACAUAUGUCCACAUAAAAACUUGUACACAAAUGUUCUCAGAAGCAUUAUUCAUAACAGCCAAAAAGUGGAAACAAUUCAAAUGUUCAAAACUGAUGGAUGGAUAAACAAAAUAUGGUAUAUCCAAACGAUGGAAUAUAUUUGGCCAUAAAAAUAAUGGCUAAUAUGACAACAUGGACUUUAUGCUAAGGGAAAUAAGCCAAACACAAAAGACUACAUAGUGUAUGAUUCCAUUAGUAUAGAGUGUCCACAAUAGGCAAGUCCAUAGAGACAGAAAGAAGUUCAGUGGUUGCAAAGGCUCUGGUGAAAAAGUAAUGAGUGACCGUUAAUGGGUGUAAACCAAAAAUAAAAUACGAACGCCCUUUUCAA